UGCUAAUGAUGAUUAAAUUUUAUCAUCAUCUUUCGUCUGAUAAUUAGUGAUGUAUUCUUUUAAACUGAUUGCAGCA